CCCUUAGAUGUUCUGGGCCGCACGCGCGCUACACUGAUAAUGUCAACAAGCUUUACCUUGGCCGAUAGGUCUGGGCAAUCUUCGAACUAUUAUCGUGAUGGGGCUAGAUUAUUGCAACUAUUAAUCUUAAACGAGGAAUUCCUAGUAAGCGCGAGUCAUCAGCUCGCGUUGAUUACGUCCCUGCCCUUUGUACACACCGCCCGUCGCUCCUACCGAUUGGAUUGGCUGGUGAAGCGUUCGGAUUGUGGGUUCGGAGUGGUUCGCCGUUCUGGGCUUGCGAGAAGUUCGUUAAACCCUCCUAUCUAGAGGAAGGAGAAGUCGUAACA
rnacentral:rRNA from 1 species